GGCCUGGUGGCACAGUGGUUAAGCAUUUGGCUGCUAACCAAAAGGUUGGUAGUUUGAAUCUACCAGCCA
rfam:Loxodonta africana unplaced genomic scaffold scaffold_27, whole genome shotgun sequence.